rnacentral:rRNA from 1 species
GAGACCCACGCCAACAGUUGACAGCACGUUCUCCGGAAUGGUGGGGACACUGUUGGGACCGCCUCUGCUAAAGAGGAGGAAGGAAUGGGCAACGGUAGGUCAGCAUGCCCCGAAUUACCCGGGCUACACGCGGGCUACAAUGGACAGGACAAUGGGAAUCGACACCGAGAGGUGAAGGCAAUCCCCUAAACCUGCCCUUAGUUCGGAUUGUGGGCUGCAACUCGCCCACAUGAAGCUGGAAUCCGUAGUAAUCGCGGAUCAACAUUCCGCGGUGAAUAU